AUAAAACUUACCAAAGCCCCCUUAUUCCAAACGUCACAUAUUUUCAAUGACUGCUGGAGGUUGUUAUUUAUUAUAGUCGGAGGAAGUAUUCGUUUGUCGUUACUAUAAUUCAGAUUUGAAUCUAUAUGAGCCAUUGAAUCGAUAGCUUGAUUUUCAGUUCAUCUCUCAAGUAACUAUUUCACUGGAUUUAAAUGCAACUCUCAACUAAUGACAUGCCAAGGUAAACAGAGGAAAAGUUUUUUCCUCCAAGGCCAUUUUGCACAAGAGUACAUUAAUUAGUCUCUUUCUUAGGGACCGAAAAUAGCUGAAAGAAUUUUCAUUCCAAUCUUAUCUUCAAGAUGGAGGACACAAAAUGGGAGCAGAGACUACAAGCCGUAACCCACAUCCUAACCAGCCCCACAACACCACCUCCUCUCUACUCUCAAUUCUUUAUCUCCACGCAAAUUCCGUGCUACCUCAACUGGGACUACCCACCUAUUCUCUGCACCAAAGACACCAGGAUCUUCCCUUCUCUCCAUCUGAGGUGGGCUUUCUCUCUCUUCGUCAAAAGAGUCACCAGAUUAGGGCUCCCUGAGACUUCUUGGAGGUCCAAAUGCCCAUACCAACAGCCCCCACCUCUGAUUCUUGCAAAGGGAGUAGAGAAAGCACAGUGGGGUGAUGAGCAAAAAAGACAGUAUUUUAGAAAGAGGUUGAGAAGGAAAAGACUUGGCAAUAAUAUUCACCCCUCCAUUCCUAUUUUAGUUCCCAAUCUCUUCCUGUUUUCACUUCUGGUGUGGAACCCAUUUGCUUAUCUUGAUUCUUGAGAAAUAUUGUGGGCUUGUAAUAUGUUCAUGUAAUUAAUAUUGUAAUAAUUUUCCAUUAUGGUUAUUCUGGUUUGGUUAUGAUUUUGAAUUUUGGGGCUUCUGUUCAUCAUAAAAGAAAAAAGUGAAGGCUAUUACCUACCCAUUUGAAGAGACAGUCAGUCAAUUAGGGUAAUCUAAUUGAUAUUUUUUUAGUUCGUUAGGUUAUAUUAGAGUUGAAACUCAAAAC
rnacentral:misc_RNA from 1 species